GUACUUUGAAGGGAUCAUUCAUAAUACUGCAUCUUUUACUACCCCAGUGCCAUUCAGCACAAUAUCUUAUACCUUAGUUUGGGUAGUGCAAUGCUCUCUUUGUCUGGUCUCUUUCCUUUGACCUUUCCAGCAUGGGAAACCCUAUCAAUAGCAAAGCUAUCGCUGGCAUAGCUCUGAAGGUCAUUGGAACACACAAGUUCCCUCACCACAACAAGAUAGAGAUACCAGCAAGGAGGAUGCAGUUAGGAGGAAAAGAUCAGAAUUUCAAAGAAAUGGCUGGAAAUUAUUAUAUGAUAUAUGCUCUUACAUAUGCUCAAAUAAUUGCCCGGUACCUAGAUAAAUUUUCUGUGACUGUUUUACAGCAUCCAUUGUGUUCUUCUGAUAUCAU
rnacentral:lncRNA from 1 species